AUAAACAAAAUGCACUCUUCCUUCUCCCCUCCGCCCCCCCGUCCCCGCCCCUUUCUUCCUCUUCCCUCAUCUCUGUCACCUUCGAUUGGGCUAAAAGAGGCCCAAUCCGCUAUCUCAAACAUCCAUUGGGACGCGGAAACUUCGCUCAGAGAAGUAUUAACAGGCGAUUGGUGGACAAUCCUUCCACUUCGCCCACCCCCACAACCCCUCCCCCCGCCGCACCUUCACCCACUCUGAAAAGGUCAAUCGUAUCUCGUUGUUCAGUGAUCCGGGAGGUGGAAGGCUAUUGGUUCAGGGAGCCCGUCAGACCGGACUGGAGUGAGCCAUGAUUGGUCGACACAGGCGCAAUCAGAGUCAAGAAAACUUUGCUUUUGACUUAUUUACAGCUAGUCACAAUUGAGUGAAGUAUACUACUGUAAACAAAUUUGGAUUUCUCUCUCUCAAUCUGAUUUCUCCAGAAUGUGGAAACUAUUUAAACAGACUGCAGAUUGAAUUCCUACAUAGGCAAUUCCAGAAUUCUUACGAGACAUGCAUUAGGACAUCAGCAACAGGUAUCAUCUAGUGAACUGUUCAGAUGCAACUGAAUGGAAAAGGAGCUGAACAAAAGAUCCUGAUAGAGACUUCAACAAAAAGUGAAAUGGAUUUUAUCAUACUUGGAAAAUCAACAAUUGCAGUCUGGAUUCAUACAUCACUGUCUGAUGCACCCAACUGGAGUCAAAAAGAUGUUUCAAAUCCCGCUAGGCUGGAGGCAAAAAUACUCAAGAGUUUAAGAGCGUCUCUUGACAGUGUACAGAAUAAGAUAGCUUCUCAGCUUUCAGCUUUACUUCAUGGUUUUAACUAUCAAAAGAAGCAAGCCAUCUGAAGAUUUGCCUGAGACUGAAGGAUCCACUUCUGCGACGACUCCCUCAGGACUUAUAAUGCAGAUGGAACCAGAUUGAGAACAACCAACCAACCAACCAACCAACCAACCAAUAUGAUGGCUGAACCAGACAAGAGAAGUCCCGAAGUAAAAUACCCAUCAAUUACCAGAAUCUGUGCCUGUCAUACAUCGAAG